rnacentral:rRNA from 1 species
UACGUAGGUGGCAAGCGUUGUCCGGAAUUAUUGGGCGUAAAGCGCGCGCAGGUGGUUCCUUAAGUCUGAGGUGAAAGCCCACGGCUCAACCGUGGAGGGUCAUUGGAAACUGGGGAACUUGAGUGCAGAAGAGGAAAGUGGAAUUCCAAGUGUAGCGGUGAAAUGCGUAGAGAUUUGGAGGAACACCAGUGGCGAAGGCGACUUUCUGGUCUGUAACUGACACUGAGGCGCGAAAGCGUGGGGAGCAAACAGG